GCAGUAGCUCAACUGGUAGAGCGGCGGUCUCCAAAACCGCAGGUUGGGGGUUCGAAACCCUCCUGCC
rnacentral:tRNA from 1 species